rnacentral:lncRNA from 1 species
UCCUGGACUCAAGCAAUCCUCCCACCUCGGGGUCCUGAGCAGCUGUGACCACAAGCAUGCACCACAGCACCCAGUGGCUGAUAUACUCCCAUCCAAGUACCAGCCAGGUCUGACCCUGCUUAGCUUCUGAGACGCAUCCAGAAUGGUAUGGCCGUAGGCGCCGGCAGCUUCUAUACUUUAUCAUGGGGCUGAUAUCACAUUUGUACCUCCACUGUAGUCAAGUGAAAAGAGCAUGGCUCUAGACCCUGGCUAUUGCAGCUUUGGUUCCAGGCUGUCCUACUUCCAGUGUGGAGGAAAUUGCUUAACGUUUUUACGUCAUCGCACUCUUGAUUUAAAGGAACCAAGACUCAGAAAGAAAGCAUCUUUAUGCAAUGUUAUGUGUUACAUAUAUACACAUUCCCAUGUGAAAACAUGGGAAAUAAAUCCUACGGGAACCCCCAAGCAACCACAUAGCUCAGCCUACAGGAACUGAGAGUUUUCUACACAGCACUGGACUCUGGAUUAUCUUGACACCUCUACCACUGUUCUGGACAGUUUUCCUGUGCCCUGAUCAUUUGGCCUAGGGGAAGUCAGCUGCCAUGUUGUGAGGAUGCUCAAGCAGCCAUAUGGAGACACGCACAUGACAAAGAACUGAGGCCUCCUAACAACAACCAGCACUGACUAGCCAGUCAUGUAACACAUCCACACAGACCUUUGGCCAAGUCCUAAAAAUGAGAAGAGUGUUGGUUGAUGAUGGUAGCAGCUGGUGCCCAAAGGACGCCCAUUUGCCUUCAGUUAUAGAUCAGUGCAUGCUCUGAGUUAUCCACACCACAGCUGCCCCAGAAAUAACACUGCAAAGAGUCAAUUUGUGGUCUGGCAGCAUUGCUCCAGCUUGAGCUUUGGAUGAAAUUCAGUCCAUUUAUCCAUAUUUUAAAGAGGCUCCUUUAGAAUAAAGGCUAAGCGUCUCCAGCCUUGCAUUCAGCCCUGAAAACACAAACAAAUAUUUGCAUGUACUGACCUUCCUAAAUUUGUCAGAUGACUUUUCGCAUAACCUAUGAUUACUGCUAAUUUUUCUUCAAAGCACACACAGUUUUCUUACCUCUGAACAUGCAUUCAGGAAAUGAAAAUAUGACCAUUUCUUCAACUGAACUGUUGCUCUGGAAAAUUACAUUUUGUGCUGUUGUGAGGACAGUCAACAGCUAUAGAUUAGGAGGCCAGGGCAACACCAUUAAUACAUCUAUCAGAGUUGUAUUAAAAGGACUUUGAUAUGUCCAGCAGUCAUUAAGGUACCAAGCCUGGCUGUCAAAGGAAGAAGAGGGACAUUGAGCCUGCUCUGUAGGGCCCUGAGGCUGCCGUACCUGUGCCCAGCUCACCUGGUGAUAGUCUCCAACCACUGAGAGCUGAAAUCAUGGAAUGAAUUUUGCUAUUCAGUGAGAAUGGUCUAAUCCACAGUGAGAUGCUGCACCUGUCUCUGGCCACUAUUGCUGUACAGACUUGUCAUUCAUGAAGAGAGGUGACAAUCUGUCGUCAACUCUCCAACAUCCAUUAUUCCCAAGCAGUCAAUCUAAUUCAAUCUGGAUCUCAUUUCCCUUGCCAGUGAUUGAUUUAGAAGAGGCAUGGGGACUAAUCCUGACCAUGGAGAAGAGAAGAGAAUUCUGUUGUGGGUGGGAGCCUCUGGGAAAGGUUUUCUUAUUCCUAAAAAGAGGCCCAAGAAAAAGAUGGCUUUUUUCAUUUUAGAAGUGGUUAUUUCUGAGUGUGCUGCCUGGAACUACUGCUCCCAUCUGGCAUCCACCCAUGGGACUGAGGCUCAGCCAAGAACAGAAGAGAUGAGAGAGACAGAGAAACAAGGCCAGAGCCACAACAGACUAAGCCUGCAGCCUGCCUUACCUGUGGACUUAUUGCUAUGUAUGAGAAUUCAUUCCCUUAUGUUUGUCUUAGUCCAUUUGUGUUGCUAUAAAGGAAUACCUGAGGCUGGGUAAUUUAUAAAGAAAAAAGGUUUAUUUGGCUCAUGGUUCUGCUGGCUGGAGGACUGGGCAUCUGGUGAAAGCCUCAGGCUGUUUUCGUUCACAGCAGAGGGCAAAGAAGCAGGGCAGGCAUGUGCAGAGAUCACAUGGCAAGAGAGGAAGUGAGAGAGAAAGGAGGUG